GGUCUGUGGCUCAGUGGUACAGCGCUCACCUCACACAUGCGAGACCCUGGGUUUGAUCCUCAGCACCA
rnacentral:tRNA from 1 species